rnacentral:rRNA from 1 species
UUAAAUUGAAGAGUUUGAUCAUGGCUCAGAUUGAACGCUGGCGGCAGGCCUAACACAUGCAAGUCGAGCGGUAACAGGAAGGAAGCUUGCUUUCUUUGC